UGGAGGAUGAGGGCAUUAAACUGAGUUAAUAUUGGUAUGAUGAAAACAGCUGAUAAGGCUCACGAAAGACAAGCAGUUCGGGACUGUACCAAGGAAAGCAGUCUCAAUAUAAAGCCAGUGAGAGAGAAAUGGCCAAGAUAACUUCUGAAAAAGUGAACAGAAGCAGAGAGCAAAGAAGACAGUGAUGAUUCCCAGAAAUGACAGCUGUUAAGAAGAGAUUAAGUAGGUGGACAGAGAAAGAAAAAGAGAAGAUGUAAAAAGCCAAGG